UGGGGAAUAUUGCACAAUGGGCGCAAGCCUGAUGCAGCAACGCCGCGUGAACGAUGAAGGUCUUCGGAUCGUAAAGUUCUGUUGCAGGGGAAGAUAAUGACGGUACCCUGUGAGGAAGCCCCGGCUAACUACGUGCCAGCAGCCGCGGUAAUACGUAGGGGGCUAGCGUUAUCCGGAUUUACUGGGCGUAAAGGGUGCGUAGGUGGUCUUUCAAGUCGGUGGUUAAAGGCUAUGGCUCAACCGUAGUUAGCCUCCGAAACUGGAAGACUUGAGUGCAGGAGAGGAAAGUGGAAUUCCCGGUGUAGCGGUGAAAUGCGUAGAUAUUGGGAGGAACACCAGUGGCGAAGGCGGCUUUCUGGACUGCAACUGACACUGAGGCACGAAAGCGUGGGUAGCAAACAGG
rnacentral:rRNA from 1 species